rnacentral:rRNA from 1 species
AGAAUCAACGCUGGCGGCGUGCCUAACACAUGCAAGUCGAACGCGAAAGUCCCGAAAGGGGCAAGUAGAGUGGCAAACGGGUGAGUAACACGUGGGUGACCUGCCUUCGAGCGGGGGAUAACGUCCCGAAAGGGACGCUAAUACCGCAUAACAUCCUGCCUUUGAAGAGGUGGAGAUCAAAGCUGGGGAUCGCAAGACCCGGCACUUGAAGAGGGGCCCGCGUCUGAUUAGCUAGUUGGUGGGGUAACGGCCUACCAAGGCAACGAUCAGUA